CACAGCGAGGGUUAAGAACGGCCUCAUCUCGUGAUUCUCAACCUUGGCUGCAUACCCGAGUAUAAAACCUAUAGGAGACCAGAGCGCCUCCAGCAGCAGGACGAGUUGUUGCUUCUGAAGGCGCCGAUUGAAAACAAUGUACUUUGAGAAAGUCCUAGAUUCAGGCGGCCGAGGCCACGAAUCUGCAUUUUCCUACAGCGCGGUUCCGCCCCCGCUCCAGGAAGGUGGCGCGCGGGGCCGCGAGGGCACAGGCCCCGCCCACCAGGCGACAGGCGCUGACCCCCGGGGUUUGGCCUAAUUGGAGUUCGUGCUCAGGCUAGCUGGGACCUUCGUGAGACCCGGGGGGUUACCCUUCCUUGCAAGAUAUUAACGACACCCAACCGGGAGCAAGAAAGCCACCUACAUCUCCCGGGUGUUUACUUCCUUAAAUUGGGAGUUACUUAAGACGGCUGCGCCCCGAGCUUGCCCGAACCUGAGAAUCACGUGGGAGCCCUGUUCAACAGCCAGCCAGAAAGACAUAGAUAAAAGUACACAAUAGCGUUGUCUGGAAUUGUGCUGGGCCUUCCUCCCUGCUGGAGUCCUCUCCCUGUGAGCUACUUCAUGAUAUCUAGGUUGCUUCUGCUGCUCUCCACUGUGAAUACAGAAGUACAAAAAUCCAUGUUUAUCCAGCUACGAAUGACUCCCCAAAGAGUAGCGGGGAUCAAACUCGGGACCUUUCGCCUGCAAGGCAGGUGGUGGAACCACUGACCUAAAUCCUGGCCCUCAUCUGAACCCAUUUUGAGCCCACACUUGCCUCACUCAGCUCCACAUGCUGGAGAUAUGAAUGAAGUCCGAGCCAGACUGGACUCAGCCAGUGAAUGAAUAGCACACAAGGCCAUUCAGAGAGGGCCACCUCCAAGCCAUUCGUUUGUUCACCAAGGAUGAGUUGGGUUCCCACGGAGUGCAAGGGUGUGCUAACCUCUGGGAAUGCAGCUGCAAGUCUCUAAGGAAGGUGCCGAGCAAAAAGGGACAGAAGGCCGGAAUGUUUGUGUUCCUGCUGAACCUUAACCUCCAUGGUGAUAGUACUAAGGGGUGCGGCUCUUGGAGGUGCUGAGGUCUUAAGGAUGGAGCCUUCCUGAACGAGAUUCCUGCUCCUGUUAGAGAGGGCAGUGAGCGGCCUUGGCCUUGCACCAGGUGGGAUGCAGCUAGAAGGUGCCAUCUAUGAGAAAAUGGGUCUUCCCCAGACACAGACUGCUCUGCUGCCUCAUCUUGGACUUUCUAGUCUCCCAGGUCAUAAGCAAUGAUUUCUGUUGUCUAUAAGCCAUGCAGGCUAUGGCACUUUGUCACAGCAGCCUGAAUGGACAAAGACACCUGCUUUCCUCCUACUAAACCUUAGCCACACACAGCUUGCAGGGUGGUUCUGGAAGAUACUCAAUGGCUCCUGGACUGUGAAGCAGCCAAGCCAACAACAGCAGAGGAGGUGGCCAGGACAAUGUGGAUGGAAAGAGUGGACAUUCACACCUGGCACGCCACAUGCCAAGGGCUACAUUAGAACACAUCACAUAUGUGUUUAUCUGACCGGAAUCUGGCUCCCUUAACCACUGUGAGCCUGUUCCCUCAUGUGUAAAAUGAGAAUGAUAAUCCUACUCACCUACUGACCUUGAAUGGUUUUUGUGAGUAUUAAAAGGAAAUGCACGUGAAGGGCUUGAGAAAAAGUAAAUAAUCAAGAGAAUUAGUUAUCAUUAUUGUUAUUGGCAGUCAGCUACCAACUGCUCUUUAAAAUAUAAUCAGAAUUAUUUUUAUUGCUUUUAUUGAACACAUACAUUGUUCUAAGCAUGCUGGAGAUGCACUGGUGAGGAG
rnacentral:lncRNA from 1 species